rnacentral:rRNA from 1 species
UACGGAGGGUGCGAGCGUUGUCCGGAAUCACUGGGCGUAAAGGGCGCGUAGGCGGCUGGGGAAGUCCGUGGUGAAAGCUCGUGGCUCAACUGCGAGUCGGCCAUGGAUACUCCUCGGCUCGAGCACUGUAGAGGCAGGUGGAAUUCCGGGUGUAGCGGUGGAAUGCGUAGAGAUCCGGAAGAACACCGGUGGCGAAGGCG